UGGAAACAUGUUCCUCAGAGGCCGGGAGUC
rnacentral:piRNA from 1 species